UCCCUGCUAGCUGAGUUGGUAGAGAGUCCACCUGCAAUGUGGGAGACCUGGGUUUGAUCCCUGGGUUGGGAA
rnacentral:tRNA from 1 species